UACAGGGGGUGCAAACGUUGCUCGGAAUCAUUGGGCGUAAAGCGCACGUAGGCGGUUCGUUAUGUCGGAUGUGAAAGCCCUUGGCUUAACCGAGGAAGUGCAUCCGAAACUGGCGAGCUAGAGUACGAAAGAGGAUCGCGGAAUUCCCGGUGUAGAGGUGAAAUUCGUAGAUAUCGGGAGGAACACCGGUGGCGAAGGCGGCGAUCUGGGUCGAUACUGACGCUGAGGUGCGAAAGCGUGGGGAGCGAACCGG
rnacentral:rRNA from 1 species